CAGCUGUUUAUGGAGUAGAUACGGUGUACAGAGAAAAUACAACAUCCUUCUUCGGCAGGCUUGUGGGGUUCAUGUCUCAGCCCGCCGCCGUGGCUGACAUUAGAAGGGAACGGCUGAAGGGAGAAGAGGAGCCAAGGGCUUGCUGACACCUGUGGAGAAAGCGGCAGAAAGCAGGGGAUCUCCCACACGCUAGAAACAGAGCAAGCAGAGCUGGAGAGCACUUCAACGGCUUGUCUUGAAAGUGCAUCUCUCUUGUGUGAAAGAAAUGAGUGAGGACCAUGAACAUCAGGCAAAUAUCUGAGCUAGUAAUUUUGGAGGGAUAUUACAGUACUACCUGCGGUUGUCAGCCAGGUCUGGAAGUGACAGAAGAACACCUACACAAUGCUUCUGCAAUGCUGCUAGAUAAAGACUGACUCCUGUGCAGCUCUCUCGGGUGUUUCUGUACAACCAAGUCCACAGCUGACAUUGGUGAAACCAGUCUGAGUAUCCCAUUUGCGGUGCUGCUCAUAUUCAUGAGCUAUAACGAGUCUCUGUCAAGUUCUUGUUCUAUGAACAAAAUUUAAAUUUUAAGUGAGAAGAGCAGUAUACAGAAAGAUGAGUGUAGAAGGAAAAAUGGGACAAUUUUGGUCAGCUUCCUGAGUGGAAACUCAGCAAAGCAGUAGCUUUGCUUUUCUUGUUAACGUUGUUGAAAGGAUAGGAAGCUUCCUGAAGAAGGGUAUUAAGAUAGCUUUGUAGAGCUCUGCAAGAACCUUCAUUCAAGGAUGAAUGGUAUGGAAGUGAAAAGCACAGAGGUGGUUUUUUAAGAAUGAGUAAAUGGGCAGAUGGAUCCUAGUUACUUGGAAAUAAAUCUUGAUAAUUAGGUUGGAAAGAGCUUGUGAAGUGAAUACCAGCAGCCUAUGAUGAAUGAGUUAGAGAAAAGACUACCUAUAAGAUUUUCAAAAAGAAAGGCAACUUGAAAAACUGCUGAACUUGGGAAAUAAUAGUUGCAGCAUGGCUGUUUCUGCUGGUGUUUGCUGGUAGUAUAACCAGCACAAAAUUAAUCUCUCUGUACCACAACAUCCUGUUCUCUGAUGCUGACAAGUGCAAUUUUUGUUUUUCCUUUGCUUUCUACUGCCCUUUUUAAAAGAAAGUGGGCAAGAAAUCUGAAGUAGUUGUCUGAUUUAAUUAUUCUAUGAUUCAUAAGAAAUCAGCAGCAAAUCCGUUUCAGAUUCCAAAAGCCUCCGAAGUUGCCCUCUUUCCUCUUUAGCAUCCUAACCAUAUUGAGCUUUUGAGGAUCUGGCUUCCAAUCUUCAAAGGAAAGGUCAAGAUAUGUAAGACAGAAACACAGCACCAAAACACCCAUUCUGCUCCACAUCGAGGUCCCGCUCUGACAGAUGGAAUUGUCUUUGACAAGGAAUCCUUUGGUUUAUACAGUGUUAAUGACGGUUUCUAAUAAAAUAUUCUCAUUCAUCCAUUGAAAAUAUAUUCUGAGUAUUAUAAUUAGGGCAAACAAGAUAAGACACUCAUUUAGAUAACUUUUUUCCAGCUUCUUCUAGGUGAAACUCCAUAUACUUUUUUAGGUCUACCAGGUAAAAAUUAAUUUGUUCAGUAAAUAUAUCAAAAUACUGAUAUUUUAUAGCUAUCUUUAAAUUCACUCAGGCACUAAUUAUGUUUCAAUGCCUAUGGAAACAUAAAGACAGUGGGAAAAGAGACACAAAAAGGGAAUUGACUUGUCAGUGCAUGGUAGUGGUGGAGCUGAAAAAGGAUCCAGGUUUCACUGCUUGUCUAAUGUUCAUAUAAUCUGAAUUCAUUGCUUCCAGAUGGAACUCGGAGUGCUAACAGUUUAUCCCUAAUCUGAGAGAUUAAUUUAUAGUUUAAACUUCACAUGUAUACCAGGCUCUUCUGAAACAUAGAUCUGAAAAAAGUGCAUAUAUAAAAAAUUAAGUUAAUUGCAGAAAUGAUGAUAGUACUCACUGAAGCUUAUGUACAGUGUUG